rnacentral:rRNA from 1 species
AUGAACGCUGGCGGCGUGCCUAAUACAUGCAAGUCGAGCGAACGGACGAGAAGCUUGCUUCUCUGAUGUUAGCGGCGGACGGGUGAGUAACACGUGGAUAACCUACCUAUAAGACUGGGAUAACUUCGGGAAACCGGAGCUAAUACCGGAUAAUAUUUUGAACCGCAUGGUUCAAAAGUAAAAGACGGUCUUGCUGUCACUUAUAGAUGGAUCCGCGCUGCAUUAGCUAGUUGGUAAGGUAACGGCUUACCAAGGCAACGAUGCAUAGCCGACCUGAGAGGGUGAUCGGCCACACUGGAACUGAGACACGGUCCAGACUCCUACGGGAGGCAGCAGUAGGGAAUCUUCCGCAAUGGGCGAAAGCCUGACGGAGCAACGCCGCGUGAGUGAUGAAGGUCUUCGGAUCGUAAAACUCUGUUAUUAGGGAAGAACAUAUGUGUAAGUAACUGUGCACAUCUUGACGGUACCUAAUCAGAAAGCCACGGCUAACUACAUG